rnacentral:rRNA from 1 species
GACGAACGCUGGCGGCGUGCUUAACACAUGCAAGUCGAACGGAAAGGCCCUGCUUUUGUGGGGUGCUCGAGUGGCGAACGGGUGAGUAACACGUGAGUAACCUGCCCUUGACUUUGGGAUAACUUCAGGAAACUGGGGCUAAUACCGGAUAGGAGGUCCUGCUGCAUGGUGGGGGUUGGAAAGUUUCGGCGGUUGGGGAUGGACUCGCGGCUUAUCAGCUUGUUGGUGGGGUAGUGGCUUACCAAGGCUUUGACGGGUAGCCGGCCUGAGAGGGUGACCGGCCACAUUGGGACUGAGAUACGGCCCAGACUCCUACGGGAGGCAGCAGUGGGGAAUAUUGCACAAUGGGCGGAAGCCUGAUGCAGCAACGCCGCGUGCGGGAUGACGGCCUUCGGGUUGUAAACCGCUUUCGCCUGUGACGAAGCGUGAGUGACGGUAAUGGGUAAAGAAGCACCGGCUAACUACGUG